rnacentral:rRNA from 1 species
AGCGAACGCUGGCGGCGUGCCUAACACAUGCAAGUCGAACGUGAAAAGGGAAACCUGAGUACAGUGGCGUACGGGUGAGUAACGCGUAGGUAAUCUACCCCAGAAUCUGGAAUAACCUGCCGAAAGGCGGGCUAAUACUGGAUAGAGCGAGGGAACUCGUAAGAGAGUUUUUCGGGAAAGGGAGCCCGCAAGGGCCUUCGUUCUGGGAUGAGCCUGCGUCUCAUUAGCUAGUUGGUAAGGUAACGGCUUACCAAGGCGAUGAUGAGUAGCUGGUCUGAGAGGAUGAUCAGCCACACUGGAACUAAAACACGGUCCAGACUCCUACGGGAGGCAGCAGUGGGGAAUCUUGCGCAAUGGACGAAAGUCUGACGCAGCCACGCCGCGUGAGUGAAGAAGGCCUUCGGGUUGUAAAGCUCUGUCGGAUGGGACGAACAUCUUCAUAGUGAAUAGCUAUGAGGACUGACGGUACCAUCAAAGGAAGCACCGGCUAACUCCGUG